rnacentral:rRNA from 1 species
UAAUACGAAGGGACCUAGCGUAGUUCGGAAUUACUGGGCUUAAAGAGCUCGUAGGUGGUUAGAAAAGUUGGUGGUGAAAUCCCAAGGCUUAACCUUGGAACUGCCAUCAAAACUUUUUGACUAGAGUAUGAUAGAGGAAAGUGGAAUUUCUAGUGUAGAGGUGAAAUUCGUAGAUAUUAGAAAGAACACCAAUUGCGAAGGCAACUUUCUGGAUCAUUACUGACACUGAGGAGCGAAAGCAUGGGUAGCGAAGAGGAUUAGAUACCCUCGUAGUCCAUGCCGUAAACGAUGUGUGCUAGGCGUUGGAAAUUUAGUUUUCAGUGUCGCAGCGAAAGCGUUAAGCACACCGCCUGGGGAGUACGACCGCAAGGUUA